rfam:Gonium pectorale scaffold00258, whole genome shotgun sequence.
CCACCCUUAGCUCAGCUGGAAGAGCGAAGGACUGUAAUCGGGCUGUAGCAGUGCAUCCUUAGGUCGCCUGUUCGAUCCAGGCAGGGUGGA